CUUGGUCAUUUAGAGGAAGUAAAAGUCGUAACAAGGUUUCCGUAGGUGAACCUGCGGAAGGAUCAUUAUUGAAAUUAUAGGCGAGGGUUGUAGCUGGCCUCUCGGGGCAUGUGCACGCCCGAGCCCUUAAUCCCACACACACCUGUGAACCUAUUGUAAGGGCCCGUAAAAAAGGCCUUUACGUCUUUAUCACCUACCCGAAGUCUCAUAGAAUGUAAAACAUAUGUCCUCGCCUUAAAAAAGCGUUGAUAAAAUUUAUACAACUUUCAACAACGGAUCUCUUGGCUCUCGCAUCGAUGAAGAACGCAGCGAAAUGCGAUAAGUAAUGUGAAUUGCAGAUUUUCAGUGAAUCAUCGAAUCUUUGAACGCACCUUGCGCUCCUUGGUAUUCCGAGGAGCAUGCCUGUUUGAGUGUCAUUAAAUUCUCAAACUCUGAUUGAUUUGUUUCAAUCGAGCUUUGGAUUUGGAGCGUGCCGGCGUCAGUCGGCUCCUCUUGAAUGCAUCAGCGGAAUCCCAUUCAUUUCGGACGUCAGUGUGAUAAUCAUGUUGCGCUGUCUUUGCGAUCUUGAAAGCCCGCUCACAAUGGUCUUCGGACAAACCUCACUAUCAUAUUUGACCUCAAAUCAGGUAGGACUACCCGCUGAACUUAAGCAUAUCAAUAAGCGGAGGAAAAGAAACUAACAAGGAUUCCCCUAGUAACUGCGAGUGAAGCGGGAGAAGCUCAAAUUUAAAAUCUGGCGGUUUCACCGUCCGAGUUGUAAUCUGGAGAAGCGUUUUCCGCGUCGGACCGUGUACAAGUCUUCUGGAACGGAGCGUCGUAGAGGGUGAGAAUCCCGUCUUUGACAUGGACUACCGAUGCUUUUGUGAUACGCUCUCGAAGAGUCGAGUUGUUUGGGAAUGCAGCUCAAAAUGGGUGGUAAAUUCCAUCUAAAGCUAAAUAUUGGCGAGAGACCGAUAGCGAACAAGUACCGUGAGGGAAAGAUGAAAAGCACUUUGGAAAGAGAGUUAAACAGUACGUGAAAUUGUUGAAAGGGAAACGUUUGAAGUCAGUCGCGUCUGCCGAGACUCAGCCUUGCGUUCGCGCCUGGUGUAUUUCUUGGUAGACGGGUCAGCAUCAAUUUUGACCGCUGGAUAAAGGUCGAGGGAAUGUGGCAUUCUUCGGGAUGUGUUAUAGCCCUUGAUUCGCAUACAGCGAUUGGGAUUGAGGAACUCAGCACGCCUUUAUGGUCGGGGUUCGCCACGUAACGUGCUUAGGAUGCUGGCAUAAUGGCUUUAAGCGACCCGUCUUGAAACACGGACC
rnacentral:rRNA from 1 species